GGGAGACAACCUGGCAACCUCAUGAGCGAACUGCUUCGGCUUUUCGGUGGAUGCGUCUUCCUCGCCCUGGCGGCGCUGACGGUGGUUGGGGCACCCAAUCAGUUCCUGUGGAAGCUGAGCGUCGCGGCAGCCGAAGGCGGACAUUGGCUCGCCAUUGGUGCGCUCGUCCCCGCGAUUCCCUGGUGGGGGCGAGGCCGGCUCGGCAGGCUUGGCGGCCUCCUGAGCCUGGGUGCCUCGGCACUCUUCGCGCUGCCGCUCUACCAUGCCAGUCAGAUAGACAGAGAACUGCCAGCGAUGCUCGACGCCAGUUUCGGGAACGAACAGCGCACCCGCGGACGCUUUGCCGAGGAUCUGCGGCCCGAAGCCUCUCGUCAUGUUCGAUCUGAUCUCUUCUGUACAGUCCCGGCCGGUCCUCCUCGAAGAGCGCGUGUUCAGGACGAUCGAUGGCGAGGAGCUCACGCUCGACAUCUACAAGCCGGGGUACAACCACGGGCCCGUACCGGGGCUGUUGGUAGUGCACGGCGGGAGGCUGGCAGAACGGACACAGCAAGGAAUUCAUCGCCCUCAACGCCUACCUCGCCGCCCGCGACUACAUCGUCGUGUCGAUCAACUAUCGGCUCGCGCCCAAAU
rnacentral:misc_RNA from 1 species